rnacentral:rRNA from 1 species
CCUACGGGAGGCAGCAGUAGGGAAUCUUCCACAAUGGACGAAAGUCUGAUGGAGCAACGCCGCGUGAGUGAAGAAGGGUUUCGGCUCGUAAACCUCUGUCUUUGGGGACGAAUUGAGACGGUACCCAAGGAGGAAGCUCCGGCUAACUACGUGCCAGCAGCCGCGGUAAUACGUAGGGAGCAAGCGUUGUCCGGAAUUACUGGGUGUAAAGGGAGCGUAGGCGGGAUAGUAAGUUGAUUGUUAAAACUAUCGGCUCAACUGGUAGAUGCGAUCAAAACUGCAAUUCGUGAGUGAAGUAGAGGCAGGCGGAAUUCCUAGUGUAGCGGUGAAAUGCGUAGAUAUUAGGAGGAACACCAGUGGCGAAGGCGGCCUGCUGGGCUUUAACUGACGCUGAGGCUCGAAAGUGUGGGUAGCAAACAGGAUUAGAUACCCGAGUAGUC